UACGUAGGGGGCAAGCGUUGUCCGGAUUUAUUGGGCGUAAAGAGCGUGUAGGCGGUUAGGUAGGUCCGUUGUGAAAACUCGAGGCUCAACCUCGAGACGCCGAUGGAAACCAUCUAACUAGAGUCCAGAAGAGGAGAGUGGAAUUCCUGGUGUAGCGGUGAAAUGCGCAGAUAUCAGGAAGAACACCCGUGGCUAAGGCGGCUCUCUAGUAGCGGUACUGACGCUGAGACGCGAAAGCGUGGGGAGCGAACAGG
rnacentral:rRNA from 1 species